rnacentral:rRNA from 1 species
UACGUAGGGCGCAAGCGUUAUCCGGAAUUAUUGGGCGUAAAGAGCUCGUAGGCGGUUUGUCGCGUCUGCCGUGAAAGUCCGGGGCUCAACUCCGGAUCUGCGGUGGGUACGGGCAGACUAGAGUGAUGUAGGGGAGACUGGAAUUCCCGGUGUAGUGGUGGAAUGCGUAGAUAUCGGGAGGAACACCAGUGGCGAAGGCGGUUGCCUGGAGCUUUGCUGACGCUGAUGCGCGAAAGCGUGGGGAGCGAGUCCGG